UAGAUCCUUUGCUACAAUUACCCCAUUCUGGAUGAAUCUCUCCCCAUCGAGCUGGCCCCUUUUCACUAUUUUUGUCGUAAUCAAAUUCUCUCUCAUCAUCAACUUCUUGAGAUCUUGCUGGGAGGGUAUGCAAGAGAAGAGAAAUCAAGAAAAUGGAACACAACAACUUGAUUGCAAGCUUUCCCAUAUCUUCUAGCGAAAAUUAGACUUCAACACCUGAUAAAGAUUAAAAAGAAGUAGAGGCUUAAUUGUG
rnacentral:misc_RNA from 1 species